UUAUCAAUCAAUGAUCUAUUUACAAGUAAGUUGCUAAAUCACAAGAGGCGUUUGGAUGCUCCGAGCACGCCUCGAAAGCUCUACUGCAAGUAUCUCCAAUACCUGUUCGUCUUUAUCUGCAACCCGACCGCCUCGGUCGUCCACUAUCUGCUUCAGUUUUUGAAGCCAAUCGUCCAAUGCCGUUUGUUGAUUUCCGCCAAUCUUCAAGCCACAGCUGAGAAGAUAUAGAUAUCUUCAAGCCACAGCAAGGAGAUCAGAAGGUCCUGCAACAUCAGUCGCAUUUCUUCUAGAUUGAGAUCUUUUCAAGGCUAGAACUAAAAAACACUACUUACUCACAAGUGUGUUACACGUUUCAAUUUGUUCAACCCUUUCAAUAUGUUUCAAAGUUUACAAAAAAGUGUGCGUACAAUAAAAAUAACAAUAUCUACCAAAUGUAAACAGAAGAGGUAAAUCAAAUGUUACUAGUUAAGUGUAGUUUAUAAUUUUGACACCAGGGAGCGUUUAGACUUCGCGAAAUCACGCAAUGUAUUGUUCUUUACCUUGCAUUUUAAGCAGCCCUGAUGGUAACGUAACUGUCGAAACUGCUUGACCCAAGUCUAUUAAAACAACAAAUUACACACUUUACUAUACGAUUUAUUAACUCAUUUUACCGAGUUCUAUUUUUUUUUUAGUAGUGAGAGAACAUUGAAAAACCCCCUAUUUAUCAGCAAUCGUUUACAUCAUGUCGUUGUAGUACCUAAUCAGUUUCAUCUUGUUCUUUUAACAUACACAGCAGACGUUGCAAGAAUUAAUUAUUCGCCCAAAUUUUCCAUCUUGAUCACAACAUACAAUUUUUAGUGCCCCUCACUCAUCUCGUAUUUCAGCACAAACCGAACUGAGCGUGUAAACCCACCUCAACAGUUUUAAUUGAUAAU